UCGGGUCAAUAACACAUACUUUCUUUCAUUUUAUUUCAAAAGCUAAGGAGUAAUAGCAGGUUGAAUGAUUCGAUGCUACAUUGUCUUAUUCAAAAUUUCCUCAAACUCUCACAAAAGAGGGGAGACUCGGUGCAUUAAAGACACCUAUAGUAGCUUGUUUGCAGAUUCAAGCAUAACAAAAGCCCAUCUUUGUGGUCAACUUUGGCUCCUCACGUUGAUGGUGGAAUUUCCCAAUGCCCUGGCAGGGGACCAACAUCAUAUAUUAUUUCUCUAUGGCAAGACCAGACUAGUUUUAUGGCUUCUGGUGUUCCAAUUCCUGCACCUCUUGGGUCUCCUGCUGGUCCAAACCAAUGAUUCUGAGGAGCCCCAGUUGUUCUUGCUCUUAUUCCAGCAUAUGUAGUCCCAUUUACAGUUUUUCCAAUAACUUCCUGCAGAAACAGAGGAUCAUUUGAAACGACUGCAGCUGUUAAAUGAGCAUGCAUCCUCUCCAGAGCUUCCAAAACCAGUGGAAGUUGAUCUAUCUUGUAAUCAGUAAUAAUCUGGAACGGUCCAAAUAUCUCUCUUGUUACCAGCUCAUAAUUGCUCUCUUUCAAAAUUUCUUCAAGAGGAACAUAUAUGGCUGUUGGUUUUAUUGCACCAUAUAUGGAUGGAAUGGAAUGAUUCUCCAGAGGUUUGCCACCAAAGAGUAGCUUUGAACCUGGUAUCUGAAGUAAUUUAUUCAUGUGCUCUACCAUUGCUUCAGUUGUAAAUGUGAGAACAGGACCAACUGUUAGAUCUUCUAAUUUUCUUCUCUCUGCAAGAUCCUUCAUUUUGGAUAUAAGUGAAGUACCUGACCAGUUCUCAUGCAUGAAUAAUAUUGACUGUGCAGAGCACUUCUGACCACUGCAGGCAUAUGCAUCCUGGUCACAAACCCAUGCAACAUAAUCCACCUCAUUUACAUCAGGCCCUAGAACUUUCCAGUCAAACCCUGCAUCUUCCAAUUUAAUACGACCCUUAAGGUCAACAGCCAACUUAUCUGCAACUCUUGAGCUACCAGUAAAGAGGGUCAUACGGGGAUUUGCCUCCAAUAAUAGUUUGUUCAUUGUCUUUCCAUCAGAAUUUAUGAAGUCUGCAUCUUCCACUGGCAGCCCACAGUAGUGAAGAAGCCGCAUCAUUUGCUCCAUAACAAGGCAUACCUUGCUAUCAACUUUAAGAACAGGUUUGUUGCCCAUGUAUAGUGCACCCAUCAUCUGAAGUACCGGAAUCUCUAAUGGGAAAUUGAAGGGAGUAAUAAUAGCUACAGGACCAUAUGGCCAUCGGAAACCAUGACUUUGCUGUCCAAGAUGAUUGCCAGGUACUGCAAAAGACCUUGCCAAGAAACGAACCUGAUCACCAGAGAAAUUCUCCAGAAAUUUUUGAGUAACUUGAACUUCAGCAAGAGCUUGCUGAUAACUCUUUGGAGCAACCCUUUGUAUUAACCUAGUGAAGAAAUUGGAAACCUUUGGCACAGAAAGCAUGUGGGCUGCCUUUGCAGAUAUAUCGCCGUAUAAAAGAUACCUUUCUGGUGAUUUAAAGGGAUUGUGCAGUCCAUGCUUGGGGCACUUGGACAAGCUCUCCACAAAUGGCUGAAUUCUUGUUUCAUCUACUUCAGCAAUCUUAAUGAAUGGUUCUCCAUUUAAAGGAUCCACAAUUGUAUUCCAACUUGAAGAUCCUGUCCACUUCCCCUGCACCAAGUUCUGCACUUCCGCAGGCUGAGAACCUGAUAUCUCCUCAGCUUCUACUGUUGCAAAAGGCAAAGAAUGAACAGAUCUGCUNNNNAAGAGUGAAUGAACUGAGCCAACCUAUGCCCUUCUGGGCAGCUCUGGCUCUGAUUCCUCUGCAGCCCACAAAUCUGUACAUGGUAGUGACUGGUGAUUGAAG
rnacentral:misc_RNA from 1 species